UACGUAGGGUGCGAGCGUUGUCCGGAAUUAUUGGGCGUAAAGGGCUCGUAGGCGGUCUGUCGCGUCGGGAGUGAAAACUCAGGGCUUAACCCUGAGCCUGCUUCCGAUACGGGCAGACUAGAGGUAUGCAGGGGAGAACGGAAUUCCUGGUGUAGCGGUGAAAUGCGCAGAUAUCAGGAGGAACACCAGUGGCGAAGGCGGUUCUCUGGGCAUUACCUGACGCUGAGGAGCGAAAGCAUGGGGAGCGAACAGG
rnacentral:rRNA from 1 species